CCUACGGGAGGCAGCAGUGGGGAAUAUUGGACAAUGGGGGAAACCCUGAUCCAGCAACGCCGCGUGGAGGAUGAAGGUCUUCGGAUUGUAAACUCCUGUUAGGGGGGACGAAGGGCUGUCGGCGAACAGUCGGCAGACUUGACGGUACCCCCAGAGGAAGCCCCGGCUAACUCUGUGCCAGCAGCCGCGGUAAUACAGAGGGGGCAAGCGUUAUUCGGAAUUAUUGGGCGUAAAGGGCGCGUAGGCGGCCUUGUAAGUCUUGGGUGAAAUCCCUC
rnacentral:rRNA from 1 species